AUACGUAGGGGGCAAGCGUUAUCCGGAUUUACUGGGUGUAAAGGGAGCGUAGACGGUAAAGCAAGUCUGAAGUGAAAGCUCGGGGCUCAACCCCGGAACUGCUUUGGAAACUGUUUUACUGGAGUGCAGGAGAGGUAAGCGGAAUUCCUAGUGUAGCGGUGAAAUGCGUAGAUAUUAGGAGGAACACCAGAGGCGAAGGCGGCUUACUGGACUGUAACUGACGUUGAGGCGCGAAGGCGUAGGGAGCAAACAGGAUUAGAUACCCUGGUAGUCCACGCGGUAAACGAUGAUCACUAGGUGUCGGCGGCCAUAGGCGGUCGGUGCCUCAGCAAACGCAAUAAGUGAUCCACCUGGGGAGUACGUUCGCAAGAAUGAAACUCAAAUGAAUUGACGGGG
rnacentral:rRNA from 1 species